GCGCUGAAAGACAGAGCGAGCGCAAAGUGACAAGACCUCCCCAUACCGCCAGAUAACAUCCACAACGAUAUAAGACAACAAAAGCUAAAGCAAUAGCAGAAAUAAGACGAGGAAAAGAAGGAAACGUCUGCUGCAGUUGAACCAGGGAUUGCCAUCGGAUCACUUUAUACCGGCACAUGUAAUGUCUUGCUCUUGAGGAUAAUCAUAUGCGCAAAAGCCGUUCCCUGGCCCGAAAGUCGCGCGUGCAGAGUGGAGGCUGCGCUUGAAAACUUUUUUGUUUGUUUUGUUUUGUCUGUGACGUUUUAGAAUUCGAUUUAUUAAACGUCGACUUUCCGUUAUACCGUGGCGAAGAAGGAGGACCGAUAUAGUGUGGAUUUUCUCCGGUUUCUUUUAUUAUUUAUUAUUUAAUUUUACUGCAAUUGCUAUUAUUUAUAUUAUUAUAUUUUCUGGAGGAGCGCUAACGCUCAAGAAGUUCAUUUUAGUGGAUUCGACGCAGGUGCUUCGGUGCUGAAGGGCAGAAUGGAAUUGUUACUUUGACCCACGAUAUCACACGGUUCAUUCAUAUUCAUACUCCACUUUUAAUAGUUCUGAGAGCCAGAGACUGUUCAGUGACGCUCGCCGCGACACACCACUGGAAUUACAAUCAUGAACUUUGUUGUUUAUUCGCUACAAUUAUUUUUUGCGGCUCUCCUUCAUCUUUCUGCUGUAAAGGCUGCCCACAUACCCAAAGAAGGGGGGAAGAGCAAAAAUGAGGUGAUUCCCUUCAUGGAUGUGUAUAAAAAAAGUGCGUGUAAGACUCGAGAGAUGCUGGUAGACAUCAUUCGGGAGUAUCCUGACGAGAUCGAGCACACGUACAUCCCGUCCUGUGUGGUUCUCAUGCGCUGUGCAGGCUGCUGCAAUGACGAAGCGCUCGAGUGUGUCCCUACAGAGACCCGCAACGUCACCAUGGAGGUACUGCGAGUCAAACAUCGUGUAUCACAGCAUAAUUUUCAACUGAGUUUCACAGAACACACCAAGUGUGAAUGCAGGCAAAAGGAAGAAGUCAAAUCAAAGAAAGAAAAAAAACCCAGAGUGGGGAGGGUUAAAAGCCGAAAGAGAGCGAGAGAGGGAGAUUCGGGCGAUCUCAGCGCCUCGGCUCACCUGCGCUCAAGCAGUAUUUUGCUCUCAGUCAUUGGCUUUAUUUCAGGACAGAUUGUUUGCUCUUUGUAAUCGCACUUGUCCUGUCGGCUUAAAGCCUCAGUCUGCAUUUAUUUGUACUCAAAUUCACACUGUUGGCCCAGGAAUGCAACCAAAGAUGUGAAAAACCAAGAUGAUGAGCGGAGCGCUGGGAAGAACACUGAAUGAAGGAUUUUAUUUUAUUUUUUACGGCACAGCACUUUUAAACCUGAGGAUGCAUUCCCUGGACGAACUGUAAACACUACCCUGAACGAAAGACGGAAGGCGAUAUCAUCCCGAUGUCUAUUUUUAAGAUAUUAAUAUAUGAAUAUAUAGAAUAUAUAUAUAUUAUAUAUAUAUUAAAUGACAAUGUGUGUCGCUGCUAUCACCUACAAACAAGUAAACGAAGACGCUGCUUGGCGUGUGAAUGGGAUAUAUUUCAGUGUCACUGCACCUGGGCCUGUGAUUGGACAGAACGCAGUGAGGUAAAGCUUCACUGGAUCGGCCCACUGUGGAUUCAUAUUUAAAGACUCGGAAUGAAUGUCCAAGACUUCACUGAGAGGUGCAAAAGACAACCUCCAACCCUUUAUAUGAAUAGUUACAGACUGUCAAUCAAAGGAGAGGAAGUGACAUAAUAGCGAUUCUUUCUGGGUCCAGGCAUGGGAUACAAAUGCAGAACUAUCUCUUUCUGUGAUGUCACUCUUACUAGGGUGAAGUCUUAGUCAAAAAGACACCUGUACUGAUUAACAUCUAAUAGGACUUGGUGGGAUAAUACUAAAGGGAUAUUACAUGUAUGUAUACAUGGAAAUAAAAAAAAAACGAUAAAUGUGACAAAAUGCAAAUUCUGACUUUUGCUAAAGGGGACAAACUCAUUCCGUUCACCGCAGUAGUAAAAGAAAACUCAAAUAUUUAAGGUUCGUAACGUUUUCCAAAGAGAAUACUGCACAUGACUUUAGGAGCUGUUCAUUAUCACACAAUAUCUGUAUAUACAUAUCCCUAAUAUCCCUUUGUGUAGUUCACUACAUCUAAUUUAUAAUGUUAGAAUAUGUUCAGUAUUCUGUGUAUUUAAUUUGAUCUAUUUAUAUGCAGUGUUAUCGUUGAUAUUGUUUCGCUUUGUUUCCUAUCGACAUUGUCACCAAUCUGAAAAACUGUGGACGGCUUUUAUAGAAUGAAAGACAAAAGAGAGACAAGCACUUCAACAUUCCUGAAAGCGCCUUUUUUAGUUCAUUUUAACGUUUUUGUAUCAGCGAUCAGUUUGGUGGAGACACAAAACCUGCGGACGAGGAUUUGUGAUCGAAAAACAAACAUUCUCUUUGUGUGAAAGUGCCAGAAAUGAGUUUUCUGUUUGUUUGUUUGCCAUGUACAGCCACAUUUUCAGUAUAUUUUCACAGUAAUAUAUUUAUUGGUGCUGUUAAAUAUUAACAUCCUUUUGUGUUUUUAGUAUAACUAUUAAACAUAUUUAUUUUCAAAUGAUAUUGUUUUUUAUUAAAGCAAAAAUGGAUUUCUGUUUGGUGAGUGUGCUGUUUUUGUCAGUCCACAAAUGCAGGCACAUGCACUGACAUUGUAUAUUUAUAAAAGAAGAAAAAAAAGUAUUAUUACCAUAUACACUCACUGUAUACAACAAAGCAUCUGCAGAAAUAACUGCAAAUGGCACAUUAAGACUAGUCGCUGUAAA